GCCUGGGUGGCUAAGUCGGUUAAGCGGGCCGACUUCGGCUCAGGCCAUGAUUUUAUAGUUUGUGGGUUCAAGCCCCGCAUCAGGCU
rnacentral:tRNA from 1 species